UGCACCAUUUCGUGGUCCACCAAUGAAGGGGCGGGGUGGUGGAGCUCUGCCUAGGGGACACGUAUGGCUGGCCGGUCCUCAAGGAAACCCGGGUCAUGACGAGCGGAGCAGCAUCGCGUCGGGUCAGCGGGCAUCAUCUCUCCCCUACGGCGACUCAACGGAAACUCUCAACCCUGUCAUAUGAAGCGCAGCGUUCUCUUCAUCCCUGCUAGAGACUAACUAUUACUACUACUACCUCCACCACCACCACGUCUUACCCUUCCCGGAAACAGGCACGGAAACUGCUCGUCUUCAGAACCGCAAUACAAAUCAAGUCAAAGGAAAGUGAACUCGUACCUUCAUUAGUACAGGUAAACACGUGAGACUUAUUAGACCCUACGUCUUGUAAACAUUCCCGCCGACUAGUCCAACGCAGCAGGUCGUCGCAAAGGGCACUGACGUGUUUUUCCCUGGUGUGUGGACGGACAUUCCUUUUCUUGUAAUGGCGCUUUUAGGCUUAAUAAUUUAGGCUCCUCAUCCAUCUCUUCUCAACUACCAACCAUUUGUUGCCGCUCUCAUGUACCGCUCUCCCCAAGUACCCUGAAUGAACCAUUCCCAAAUGUCUCCACCACUUACUUCCCUCGACUAUUUCUAACAGGCUGGAGUGAAAAUCUGCAAGCUAUUAAUUUCAGGGAUGGUUCCAUGAAUGUCGUGAUGUUCUAGUAAGAUUUUUUUGGAACGCUACCGGAAUGUUUUCAUCUUUCUGAUUCUAUGUUCAUAAGGAUUUUGCCCUAUUAAUGUGAUAAACCUACAACCUGACUGUGGUCUACAGAAAACAAAAUGAAAAAAUGUCUUGCGAAUGCUUAAAACAUUUCGAAAUAC
rnacentral:lncRNA from 1 species